UUUUGUCUUUGUAGAUCUGGCCAAGCACUGAAGACAGCAAGGAGAAGGCACCCAGGAAAAGUCGCUGGGUUCCAUAAGCUUCCUAUAGCUAUGUAAAUGUUAAAACCUGAAAAGCCAAACCUUAGCAACGGAUUGGAAGCAGUGAUUCUCCUAAAGUCCCCUAAGCGAAUAGUACGCUGAGCUACCAUGUCAAGCCUGUUAAGUCAUUUGAAGGAAUUUGGGAAGUCAGCACACUUUGGGCAAACACAACAGUGUCAUGAUUGAAGAAAUGCUGCCUUAGAAGCCUUGAGAUCCGCCAUUCCGGCACUGCAAGGGUCCGAUGAGCAGGGUCAAACCGACCGAAGGCAGAGGAGCGUUAGCAAUGUCCCGCUUGCUGCAGACCCCGAGGACGAUAGCUUUCAUGAGAGAGC